UUCCCUCUUUCCUACUGCCCUGUUUCGUCGCAAACUCCCCUCCUCUCCCUGGGCAUGGUGCAGGGCUCAGGCACCCAACUCAGGCCUGAAGCUGUCUCCAGGGCAAACGGGUAUGCACCUGUCAAGGCAGGAGGCAGGAGGGACUGUACAAAUUGUAAAUGAAUCGCUUGAGUUAUUUGAGUGCAAGCCAUAAGAGUGAAGUCUGGCUUACAUAGGCACAGGGGAUUUCCACAGAGCUAGAGCUGCAGUUCAUGGAAUCACAGAUGCUGCCAAAGUCAUGAAAAUGCACACACAGG